rnacentral:rRNA from 1 species
UGAAUACGAGAUGCUACGGCGUCGAAGCAGUGUAUGUCAGACUUCCAAGAAAAGCUCGCAAUGUCAUAAAUAAAGAAUGCCUGUACCAUAACCGACACAGGUGGGUAGGUAGAGUAUACUAAGGGGCGCGAGAUAACUCUCUCUAAGGAACUCGGCAAAAUAACUCCGUAACUUCGGGAGAAGGAGUGCCUUCUUUAAGAAGGUUGCAAUAACAAGAUCCAAGCAACUGUUUAUCAAAAACACAGGUCUCCGCUAAGUCGUAAGACGAUGUAUGGGGGCUGACGCCUGCCCAGUGCCAGAAGGUUAAAGAAGUUGGUUAGCUUUUGCGAAGCUGAUGACUGAAGCCCUGGUGAACGGCGGCCGUAACGAUAACGGUCCUAAGGUAGCGAAAUUCCUUGUCGGGUAAGUUCCGACCCGCACGAAAGGCGUAAUGAUUUGGAUACUGUCUCGGAGAGGGACUCGGUGAAAUAGACUUGUCUGUGAAGAUGCGGACUACCUGCACCAGGACAGAAAGACCCUAUGAAGCUUUACUGUAACUUGAAAUUGAAAUUGGACUUUAUUUGCGCAGUAUAGGUGGAAGGCGUUGAAAGUAAUCUUGCGGGAUUAGUGGAGCCAUCAGUGAGAUACCACUCCUAUAAUGUUAGAUUUCUAACUUUGGAUCAUGAUCUGGUCAAAGAACAGUUUCAGGCGGGCAGUUUGACUGGGGCGGUCGCCUCCCAAAUGGUAACGGAGGCGUACAAAGGUUUCCUCUGAACGGGUAGAAAUCGUAUCUAGAGUGUAAAGGCAUAAGGAAGCUUGACUGUGAGACCUACAAGUCGAGCAGGGACGAAAGUCGGUCUUAGUGAUCUGACGGUGCUGAGUGGAAAGGCCGUCACUCAACGGAUAAAAGUUACUCUAAGGAUAACAGGCUGAUCUCCCCCAAGAGUUCACAUCGACGGGGAGGUUUGGCACCUCGAUGUCGGCUCAUCGCAUCCUGGGGCGGUAGUACGUCCCAAGGGUUGGGCUGUUCGCCCAUGAAAGCGGUACGCGAGCUGGGUUCAGAACGUCGUGAGACAGUUCGGUCCAUAUCCGGUGUAGGCGUUAGAAUAUUGAGAGGAGCCUUCUUUAGUACGAGAGGACCGAGAAGGACAUACCUCUGGUGUACCAGUUAUCGUGCCAACGGUAAACGCUGGGUAGCUAUGUAUGGAGAGGAUAACCGCUGAAAGCAUCUAAGUGGGAAGCCCACCUCAAGAUGAGUAUUCUCAUC